rnacentral:rRNA from 1 species
CAUUACAGAGUUCAUGCCCUUAGGGGUAGUCCUCCCACCCGUGAAAUUUAAACCUUUGUUGCUUUGGCGGGCCGCGAGCCCCUUGCUACCUUAUGGUACGUGCCCGCCAGAGACCCAAAUUCUGUAUAUUAGUGUCGUCAGAGUACUAUUUAAUAGUUAAAACUUUCAACAACGGAUCUCUUGGUUCUGGCAUCGAUGAAGAACGCAGCGAAAUGCGAUAAGUAAUGUGAAUUGCAGAAUUUAGUGAAUCAUCGAAUCUUUGAACGCACAUUGCGCCCUAUGGUAUUCCGUAGGGCAUGCCUGUUCGAGCGUCAUUACAACCCUCAAGCUCUGCUUGGUUUUGGGCCUUGCCCUUGGGCAGGCCUCAAAAAAAGUGGCGGCACCUAUAGGUCCUAAGCGUAGUACAUUUUCCGCUAUAGGUAUCCGUAGGCUGUUGGCCAAUAACCUAAAAUUUAUAUUAAGGUUGACCUCGG